rnacentral:rRNA from 1 species
UACGUAGGGUGCGAGCGUUAAUCGGAAUUACUGGGCGUAAAGCGUGCGCAGGCGGUUCGUUGUGUCGGUGGUGAAAGCCCCGGGCUUAACCUGGGAAUGGCCGUCGAAACUGGCGAACUGGAGUGUGGCAGGGGGGGGUGGAAUUCCGCGUGUAGCAGUGAAAUGCGUAGAGAUGCGGAGGAACACCGAUGGCGAAGGCAGCCCCCCUGGGCUGACACUGACGCUCAGGCACGAAAGCGUGGGGAGCAAACAGG